AGGGAAUCUUCCACAAUGGACGAAAGUCUGAUGGAGCAACGCCGCGUGAGUGAAGAAGGUUUUCGGAUCGUAAAGCUCUGUUGUUGGUGAAGAAGGAUAGAGGCAGUAACUGGUCUUUAUUUGACGGUAAUCAACAGAAAGUCACGGCUAACUACGUGCCAGCAGCCGCGGUAAUACGUGGUGGCAAGCGUUGUCCGGAUUAUU
rnacentral:rRNA from 1 species